rnacentral:rRNA from 1 species
CCCUUAGAUGUUCUGGGCCGCACGCGUGCUACACUGAGUAAAUCAAUGGGUAAGGGAACACGAAAGUGCAACCUAAUCUUGAAAUUUGCUCGUGAUGGGGAUCGACGGUUGCAAUUUUCCGUCGUGAACGAGGAAUACCUUGUAGGCGCGUGUCAUCAUCACGCGCCGAAUACGUCCCCGCCCUUUGUACACACCGCCCGUCGCUCCUACCGAUUGAGUGAUCCGGUGAGGCUCUGGGACCUGGACGGAAAGAGCGUUUCGCUUGUUCUGUUUGGGAAACUUGGUCGAACCUUAUCAUUUAGAGGAAGGAGAAGUCGUAACA